ACAGGCUUUUUGCGAGAGCCCAGCUUUCCUAUUACACAAAUGCUCCGUCUUCCUGAUUCUCACUUGAGCGUACUGUUAUCAUCCCUUCGGUUUCUCUUCUCUAAUAUCAUAAAUCCCAUUAAUAAUCAGUCACAAAACCACAUUCUUUACGGCAGCAAUCUAACAUCACGAAACUCUUUCUAUUCCUUCAUCUGUAUACCUUAUAUAUCCUUCUGCUUUUAGCUACUCCCCUUCACCACAUCCGCAGAAACCAAAUAAUCCCAGCAAUUGAUGGCAAACAAAAUCGUCAAUAUAAUUUUCUCUCUGGUGAGUUUCAGUUAUGAAGAAUGUUGUCUUUUGCUCUUUUAAUCGUCAUCUGGCUUUAUAAAGUGCUUUCAAAGCCCUUGCUUUGGUUUUCAUUGACAGAGAAUGAAGGCGAUCGUUUUCAUUGACAGAGAAUGAAGGCGAUCGUGAUCUCGAGUCCGAGAAGUGGAAGACCCAGAAGAUGAUGUUCUUAUUAUAGUUCAAGGACGUGCUCUGAGACGAACUGAUUUAUCGUUUGCCAUUGGUCUCCAAUGCUCCAGAACCAUCGAAUCCAUCAUCAUGUCUAUCACUCGCCGGAAACCAGGUCUGUGCUCUUCUUUCUGGAGGAGUAUAUGCAAAGAAAGUUGUUGUACCCAUUGAACAAAUCCUUCCAGUCCCGCAGGUUUCUUCGUAGAAAAAACAGCUAUUUUCCCUAAAGUGGAGCUUGGUUUCCCUGAAUAACAACAAGGCUUAUGAAUUUACGGGAUAGAAGUAACAGCGUGAGCCUUAGUCCAUUGCAGAGAGUAAAACGAGAUACUGGAGGAUCCUAUGAGAAUUUUUCUGCUACCAAAAGCAAGGAGAUUUAUCGCGUUGCUGAUCCGAGUUUGACAGUUUCAUUCCUCACCGAAUCUGUUCUCUCUCCCUUGACGACUACCACAUCCCCGGCUCUGUCUCUUUUCCCCCAGACAGGUUCAGGUUCCACACACAUGUGGAUUUCCAAGCUAACAUGAGGCUCAGGGGUGAUCUCUACGGUAAUCUAUGUGAUUUUAAAAAUCUGCAUAUCGAUUUAUGUUUAGAUUUCUAUACUAAUCUGUAGUAGAGAUGGUGACUAUGACUGGUAGAACGAGUAACGAUUUGUAGUAGAGAAGACUCCUUUAUCCUAGAACCGUGCAUAUUCAAUAAAACUCUAAACAAUUAUAGCUUACGUUUAUUUGAUGUAAAACUAAAGGAUAUAUAUGUUUACAGCUAUCUCUAUAAUAUUAUUUGAGAAGUCAGUUUCCUA